GCGACCUGGGGCGCGCUGGGCCUCGCAGAGCAGCCGCGGACCCCGGCGAUCGUGCCGUGUUCGUCUCCUUUGUGUUUCUUUAUUGAGUCCCUACUACCUCUACGGAUAUUCUGGGGGCAAUUAAAGAAAAUCACCGCUUCAUAGGCAGCACAUAUUUCCCAUAGAAAUGUGGAAUGUAAGAAAGGCACAUAAAGCAAUCCAAGUUGCCUGCAGAUAUCCACAGCCUACUUCAGUCUCAGUAAUGCUCUUUUAACCUGGUGCAUCAGUUUAAGGGAAGACAUGAGAUCAUGGGUUUAAGUGAGGCUUCAUCAUGCCAAGACAACGUGAUCAGUUAUUCCCAACCUAUAUAACUCACAUACACUGGAGGAAAUAUCUUCAUGGAAUUAAAACCACAUGGAGUAACAUUUCACGUAAGCAGAAUUCAGGAAUGAUUUCAGUAAUUCCAUCCCAAACACACACAGGCAAAGGGAGUGAAGAUUUCUUCAGCAACAUGGUGGCAGAAAGAUCAUGAAAAGAUCUAGGCCAGUCCAAGCUCACUGCAGUUAAAUCUUCAGUCUCCAGCACUGCACUUGGGAAAGCGUCAAGGAGUUGAAUGUAUAUGUAAUUGGAGUGCCAGAAGAAGAGAACUGAGAGAGAGGGGCAGAACAGCUCAUGAGGGGGAAAACCCACUACAUACAAACAAGAAUACUGCAGACUCCUCAU